UACGUAGGGGGCAAGCGUUGUCCGGAUUUAUUGGGCGUAAAGAGCUCGUAGGCGGUUCCGUAAGUCGGGUGUGAAAAAUCUGGGCUCAACCCAGUGGAGCACCCGAUACUGCGGUGACUCGAGUCCGGUAGGGGAGUGUGGAAUUCCUGGUGUAGCGGUGAAAUGCGCAGAUAUCAGGAGGAACACCGAUGGCGAAGGCAGGUCUCUGGGCAUUAACUGACGCUGAGGAGCGAAAGCAUGGGGAGCGAACAGG
rnacentral:rRNA from 1 species